UCUGGGUUCUCAUGUUGAGCUGGAUGUAGAGCAUUGCCCUUCAUAUGAGUGAACCAUCUGACUGCCGAGUGACCUCUGAUGAGCAUGCCCUCAAUUACAGGUAUAUCCACAUGCUGAAUCAGAAAAUAGUCAUGGAACAACAAGUCAAAGAAUGUUUGGUUAAGGAACAGCUUGUCAUGGAUCAACCUGCAACGAAGAAUGAGAGAAUGUUUCAUAGGGCUUCCUCGCAUGAUGGUAGAACCCAAACAGAAAACAGAAUCCGUUGAAAUUAGUUAUGUCGGCACAAAAAAGUUUGUUUCAUAUUGAAAGCAAGAUGGAAACCUGAAGAAUCUUCAGUAACAGUGACAGAAAUCAUGCUAAGUAAGAAGCAAUCCUCAAGUAGCAGAACGGAGGAAGUAAAUAUAAUGGCUUCGCCAAUACUGAGGCUGAAUAAAAGAAUCCAAGCUAAUCGAAUUAGAGAGUCUACACACUUCAACACUGAUUUACCAGCAGAUCAAGAAUAGACAUCUGCUGACACACAUUGAAGAUGUGCUGCAACCAACCUGAUGGGAGCCACCACGGAGAAGAGAAGGCCAAUGUCUAGUGAUCCUGGAGAUGGUCAAGAAGAAAUAGCCU